AUUAAACGCUGGCGGCAUGCCUUACACAUGCAAGUCGAACGGUAGCGCGGGGCAACCUGGCGACGAGUGGCGAACGGGUGAGUAAAGCAUCGGAACGUGCCCUGGAAUGGGGGAUAACGUAGCGAAAGUUACGCUAAUACCGCAUAUUCUGUGAGCAGGAAAGCAGGGGAUCGCAAGACCUUCCGUUCUGGGAGCGGCCGAUGUCGGAUUAGCUAGUUGGUGGGGUAAAAGCCUACCAAGGCGACGAUCCGUAGCGGGUCUGAGAGGAUGAUCCGCCACACUGGGACUGAGACACGGCCCAGACUCCUACGGGAGGCAGCAGUGGGGAAUUUUGGACAAUGGGCGGAAGCCUGAUCCAGCCAUGCCGCGUGAGUGAAG
rnacentral:rRNA from 1 species